GUUUCCAUAGUGUAGUGGUUUUCACGUUAGUUUAGCACACGAAAGGUCCCUGGUUUGAGUCCGGGUGGAAACA